AACGAACGCUGGCGGCAUGCCUAACACAUGCAAGUCGAACGAGACCUUCGGGUCUCGUGGCGCACGGGUGCGUAACGCGUGGGAACCUGCCCUUAGGUUCGGAAUAACUCCCCGAAAGGGGUGCUAAUACCGGAUAAUGUCUUCGGACCAAGGAUUUAUCGCCUUUGGAUGGGCCCGCGUUGGAUUAGCUAGUUGGUAGGGUAAAAGCCUACCAAGGCGACGAUCCAUAGCUGGUCUGAGAGGAUGAUCAGCCACACUGGGACUGAGACACGGCCCAGACUCCUACGGGAGGCAGCAGUGGGGAAUAUUGGACAAUGGGCGAAAGCCUGAGCCAGCAAUGCCGCGUGAGUGAUGAAGGCCUUAGGGUUGUAAAGCUCUUUUACCCGGGAUGAUAAUGACAGUACCGGGAGAAUAAGCUCCGGCUAACUCCGUG
rnacentral:rRNA from 1 species